ACUCGUGAGUUGAUAAUCUUGACAUCUGUCACCCCACUGAUUGGCGAGUUGAUUCGGCUGAUGAGGCUGGCUAGGUUGGUGUCCUCUUUCUACCCUCAGUGCUGUAUGCACCUCCCUCCAGAAGCUGUUCCCUCGGUGGGAGAGGUGACCACCACCGAAAGUGGAGGAUCUUUCCUCGGUCAAGGGUGUAACAGUAGCUGGACUCUCCUGAUAGAACUUGCAAACAUGCUUUCAAGAAAUUAUCCUGAAAAGCUAUUAGCCCUGUGAUAGUCUGAUAUUCUGUUUUAAAAGAUACAAAAAACACUCUCUCUGAGAAAUGCUAUAUAGCAUUUGACCUUGCAGU
ensembl:misc_RNA 7SK 7SK RNA